rnacentral:lncRNA from 1 species
AUAAUUAUAUUAAAAACAAUAAAUUCAGUUGCAAACAUGAUUUCUAAAUUGAACAACCAAAAAUUAAAAGAGAAAAUGAAAGAACUGCAAAGCUAUUUCCAGUGGUUCUUUGAGCCUUGCUUCUCUUUUGUGCUUCACUCCUUGCCAUAGCAAUGUAGCCAAAAUGCUCCCCCAAUGGCCAAAUGGGCCACUCUCAAAUCCUUUCACAACUCACUUGAAGAAUGAGA